rnacentral:rRNA from 1 species
AUUGAACGCUGGCGGCAUGCCUUACACAUGCAAGUCGAACGGCAGCACGGGUGCUUGCACCUGGUGGCGAGUGGCGAACGGGUGAGUAAUACAUCGGAACGUACCUUAUCGUGGGGGAUAACGCAGCGAAAGCUGUGCUAAUACCGCAUACGCCCUGAGGGGGAAAGCGGGGGAUCGCAAGACCUCGCGCGAUUAGAGCGGCCGAUGCCUGAUUAGCUUGUUGGUGGGGUAAAAGCCCACCAAGGCGACGAUCAGUAGCUGGUCUGAGAGGACGAUAAGCCACACUGGGACUGAGACACGGCCCAGACUCCUACGGGAGGCAGCAGUGGGGAAUUUUGGACAAUGGGGGCAACCCUGAUCCAGCAAUGCCGCGUGAGUGAAGAAGGCCUUCGGGUUGUAAAGCUCUUUUGUCAGGGAAGAAACACCGGCUCUAACACAGUCCGGGAAUGACGGUACCUGAAGAAUAAGCACCGGCUAACUACGUGCCAGCCGCCGCAGUAA